rnacentral:rRNA from 1 species
AGGACGAACGCUGGCGGCGUGCCUAACACAUGCAAGUCGAACGCGCUCCAUUCGGUAGCAAUACUGAUGAAGAGCGAGUGGCGAACGGGUGAGUAGCACGUGAGCAACCUGCCCCGAAGACCGGGACAACACCGGGAAACCGGUGCUAAUACCGGAUAUCCCUAUCGGACCGCAUGAUCUGAUAAGGAAAUGGAUUCCGCUUCGGGAGGGGCUCGCGGCCUAUCAGCUAGUUGGUGAGGUAACGGCCCACCAAGGCAUCGACGGGUAGCUGGUCUGAGAGGACGAUCAGCCACACUGGGACUGAGACACGGCCCAGACUCCUACGGGAGGCAGCAGUGGGGAAUCUUGCGCAAUGGGCGAAAGCCUGACGCAGCAACGCCGCGUGGAGGACGAAGGCUUUCUGAGUUGUAAACUCCUUUCAGCAGGGACGAUAGUGACGGUACCUGCAGAGAAGCACCGGCAACUACGCGCCAGCAGCCGCGGUAAC